GAUGAACGCUAGCUACAGGCUUAACACAUGCAAGUCGAGGGGAAACGAUAUUGGAAGCUUGCUUCCGAUAGGCGUCGACCGGCGCACGGGUGAGUAACGCGUAUCCAACCUGCCCACCACUUGGGGAUAACCUUGCGAAAGUAAGACUAAUACCCAAUGAUAUCUCUAGAAGACAUCUGAAGGAGAUUAAAGAUUUAUCGGUGAUGGAUGGGGGUGCGUCUGAUUAGCUUGUUGGCGGGGUAACGGCCCACCAAGGCGACGAUCAGUAGGGGUUCUGAGAGGAAGGUCCCCCACAUUGGAACUGAGACACGGUCCAAACUCCUACGGGAGGCAGCAGUGAGGAAUAUUGGUCAAUGGGCGAGAGCCUGAACCAGCCAAGUAGCGUGCAGGAUGACGGCCCUACGGGUUGUAAACUGCUUUUAUAAGGGAAUAAAGUGAGUCUCGUGAGACUUUUUGCAUGUACCUUAUGAAUAAGGACCGGCUAAUUCCGUGCCAGCCGCCGCCGUAA
rnacentral:rRNA from 1 species